AUGUGCUUGGUGCGGUGCACGGCCAAGCUCGUCCUCUUCGUCUUCUCGUCCUGCGCCGGAAGAUGGCUCGCUGAUCCUGUUACCUUUGACGCUUUUGGAUGCGGGGCAUCGCGCCGCUACUACGCCCAUGGAUGCUUCUGUUGGCAGGUUUGUUAUGAAGAUGACGCCGAGAUGUUGCUCGUGCUCGACGCGCGCAGGAUGGAGUUCUCCGUCGUCGACCUCCCGCCUCCGCCUGGCCCUGAUAUGCGGCAGGUGGCCACUGUGGAGGCAGGAGAAGGAAGGCUUGGGAUGCUUACUAUCGAUCGAAGUAAACGUGGUGCACAUCGUCUCUUGUAUGCCGUACAUUCGUCGAAGGAUGGGAAUGGCGCAAACCAGUGGCAAUCCAAGCCCGCGAUCCCUUUGCCGGAAAAUUAUCGCUAUUGCAUUUGCAUCAGGGGUGUAGCUGGUGGAUACUUACUCCUUACUGGGCGCCCAGAAAACAACAGGGCAAUAGUAGACUAUUUUUCACUGGAUCUCCAGACUUUGCAGGCUGAGUGGUUCUGUCAGACUGGUGAUUAUGUCAUUAUUGAUGACUUGUAUGCCGAUCUCCCGCCGACACUUUGA
rnacentral:rRNA from 1 species